rnacentral:lncRNA from 1 species
CCAGAAUCCCUGGCUUCUGGGUGGCUGUCUUUCCAGAAGCUUGAAGCUGUACAUAGCAGGUUGGAUUAGGGCAAAGUGCGUGGCCUCCUUGUCCAGUCCCCCAGGUCGCUCCCCAGGGCCUCUGCCGAUUUGUACUGCUAUGCAGUCCUCGAUCCCAGCGGCUCCCUCUGCCCCCUUUCCAGAUGUAGAGAAGGUACGGCUGUCAUUUCCUGCUGAUGCCCCACCCCAGGUGCUGCCCCAACCUCUGGGGGGAGGGGGGUUCCUUUAUGCAAAUCUCCACUUGAAUUUCCUGUCUGUAUCCAAAAUGUCAAGAUGUCUAAAAGGCUACAUACUUCGGGGCAUACACUAAACACUUAGUAAAAUGUAGAUGCUACUGAAAUCCUUCUCAGGGGAGCAAAUUAGAUUUGCGUACAUAGACUUGUCUCCUAGGCUCCUUCCAGCUUCUGGGAUAGAGGCAAGGAGGGCCUUUUACCUUGCUGACUCCUACUUAGGACCUGGAGGGACGAGCAUAUGAGAGGGGACAAACCCAAGACCCAGGAGUUCUAUGUCCCAGGCACCGUUUUUCCCUUCUUGCCCCCACCACACACACACCUGGGAAACAUUCUGACACCUGAGCCUUCCUGUUCUACUUUCAUUCCUGUUGCUAUGAAAGAUACCCUAACCAAAAGCAACAGAGAAGACUAAAGGUUUUAUUCUCAUCUACCGUUCCAGGUUCCAGUCUGCCACCGAGACAAGGUCUACGCAGAACUAAAGCAGGGAUACUGGAAGGCACAGAUGUUGCUUCUUAACUAAUUUUCGUUUAUCUCUCUCUUGCUUCAUAUAGCUCACACGCACACAAACACACAGACACACACCACACACCCCACCUAGGGAAUGAUUCCACCCACAAUGAGUUCAGUCUUCUUACAACAAUUAGCAAUAGAGACAGACAAACUCUCCAAAGAAGUGUCCACAGGCCACCCUGAUCUAGCAAGUCCCUCAACCCAGGGUCUCUUCUCAGCUAAUUCCAGAUUGUGUGGAGUUGACAUUUAAAACUAAUCGUCACACCUCACCACCAGGAUGUGGUGCCUAGAUGCAGUCCACUCUGGGCACCCUUAAACCCAAUCUAAAUGAUCCUUCUCUCCCAGCCUGACUACAGAGUGUUCUGGUACCAGAACCUGACUACUAUUCUUGGUAACAGUGCUUUGGGACCACUUCUCAGCCCCUGUCCUGACCACUUAGUAAUUGUUCUUCCAUAGGAAAGAAGGUUUGUUUUUGUUUGUUUGUUUGUUUUUGUUUUUUUAAGGUUUUUAUAUAACUUAGAGGAAUGAGAAAGUCCUCCACGGCAGCCUGGGGAAUGUUCAGAGAGGUUAAUGAGCUGCUUUACCUGAAAAAUCAGCUGCCUAUUUACAGGGUUUCCCUAUGAGAGUUCCAGAACUUUGGAACUCCAUUCCACCACCUGGAACAGACUCAUAUGAGCCCUGACACAGUCACUUUCUCUGAUAAGCAGACUUCAUUCAUCUGGAACUUGGAGGCUCUGGGGCUUCCACGAGUGAACCUUCACUUCCAACCUUCUCUCUAUCUCCAGGCACCCAUGCAACAAGUAGCACACAGGAGCAAGUCCUGGCCGGCUCACGCAGCUGGCCUGUGGCAGUGUCCCCUUGAAAGCCAGCACUUUCUCCCACAGCUGGCUGCUCCAGCCUCCCAGAUCUGCUGUCCAAAUCUACAUGGGAGGUAUGUGUAUAGGUGUGAGUCAAAUAUUCGAAACAGAGCAUCAGGAUGAAUUUUCAAAGCAAAUCCAGCUCAUCCUCUCAGCUUCCCAUAGUCAUACUCUUUAGAAGCUUGCAGCGAGGGUCCUGCAGGCUCUAACCAUCCUAGCACAAAAAACAGCCAGAGAAAAGGACACAGUGAAGGACCAAAGCAUCUAGUCCCUACCACCUCCAGUGGCCUCAGCUCUUUGUGCAGAAGGCAGAGGCAGUCUGUUGUCUCAGGGCCCUCUGUUUCCUUGCACACACAGUGUAAGACGUGUUUGAUAUCUGCUUGACGCCAUUCAAGGAAAGACAUCUGCAGUCAAAUGCUCUACCACCGAGCUCUACCGCCAAGGAAAGACAUCUGCUCUGCUGCAGACUGAUAGAACCAACCCUGCAUUACCAAGGCCUGGUACCACUCCACCGCCCCGCCCCAGAUUCUUUCUGUGGAUCCCUCAAGGAGGAAGGGCUCACAAUCUAGUGACCCUUUCAACACAAGUGGCUUUGGUCGAGAUAAAUACCACAUAUGACAUGACUCUUUGUCAUCCCCUGAACCUCCCUCAGAGGCCUGAAACCUCCGGGACAGCAGGAGUUCAAGGACCAUGUGUUUUUCCACUCCUGGUAUCUCCAGCACCCUGCCAGGUAUCUGGGACAAAACAAAGUCCCCAUAAACACAGGCUCACAUGGAACCAAAGCAAGGCAGUGGUCUCCACCAACUUUAACCAAAGAGGCAGUAAAUCCCCUGGGGCUCACAGUUUUGCAUUAAAGCUAAGGGAUUGAACAGAAUAAUGUCUAAGGUCACUUUCAGUUCAUGGACAAGGAGGUCACCCUGGCCUCUUUGCAAUCUGCACACAGGAGCCCCAAGACAUCACAAUAAAUGCACAGUUUGUGUGCCAAACCUCACCUCUCCAAACCCAGCAUUAGAAAUGCUGGCAAACACCUGACCAAGUGAGAGAGGACUCAGAAAGACAGGAAGCCACCCUUUCAGGGAGAAGGGAGGAGCUUGAGACCUGGGGGUAGCAUGCUCGAGUCUCCCCAAGCAGACUAGUUCUGAGAAAGAAUCCGAGUGAACUUAAAGGAGAUAGGGACUUUCUUUACAAAGAGGCCCCAGGUGACUGCCAGCAGAACACUACAGCUUCUUGUUUUGCAGACAGUGAAACCGAGACCCAGGACCCAGAAUAGCUUGGGUGCCACGUUGCAAAGCAACGGAGCCUUGGCACUGAGACUCAGAGGCAGGCUUUCACUGGGGUCACGUCUGGGUUCUUCUGACCAAAUUAGAACAGACAAGCAAGCUCUCUCGUGGGUUUUCAGGCCAUUUCAGGAAUGCAGUUUCCAUGUGGGUCAUGCAAAUGAUCAAAAGGUCCUGAAAGUCUGAUUUUGGGUUUCUUCUGACCUGGCCAGCUUUCCAUGCACAAAGCAGUCGUUGGGAAGUACUCUAGAAGUCUCACUUCCCAAUUUUCAGUAACUUUACAAUCAGCUCAAGACCAAAAAAUUACACAGACAAUUCUACAACUUUUAAACUGAUAGGUUUGAAGCAACCUAUUGCUGAAUAUUGUUAUAACUGCUCCAUUUCGCUGCUAGUUACGGUUAACCUUUUGCUGCGGCUUAAUUUAAAAUUUGGACUUUGUCACAACACUCCAUGGUAGCUAAGGUCUUGGAUAUCUACCCGUAUCUUGGGAAAUAUCUGUGGAUAAGAGACCAUUGUACAAUGAUUGAUGGACUUUACUUUUUUUUUUCUUUUUCUGUUUGCUUUUUGGAGACUGGAAGGGCUUGGGAUGAAAGUUAAGGUUCAGCUUCCACCAAACAACAGCCCUGUCCAAACACAAACCCAUGAGUUAGUAACACUAGCCAGGUAAAUUGAUGAGGGGUAGAUACCAAAGUCAUGCAACUGGAGGUGCCUUCCAGGGGAGGACUGCCCGACACUUGUUUCUAGGGUAGAGUCCUGACAAGACAGGCUUCUUGGUGGAAGGAGAGAUGGAGAUGCACUUGUCAAAGUCAUACUGAGAAUCUAGGACCCCAAGGCAUCCUUUCCUUCCAGGCCCAUACACGGAUAACUUCCCCAAGCCUUGGCAGACAAGAGGGGAAACAAGGACUCCUGACACUGGUGGUAGGCAAUUGUUCAGAGGUCCCAACUGGAGGGGGCACAUAGGCGAGGUAGCAACCUGCACCAAAGACUAGACCCCAGCACCAUCUACAAAUAGCUCAGAGAAAGUCAGCUUCCGCUUGCUGCUGCAGAGCAAGCAAGCUCACACACUUAAACCCUCGUGUUCACUUCCAGGGGCACUUCCUGUUUUCAAGCUCCAGGAUGUUGCUGCCUGAAGCAAAGCCACUGUGGGGAAGCCCCCUGCUAAACCCAGGCCCUGGCUUUAAUAGUCAGUAUGACCUCAGGGAAAGAAAAAAAAAAAAAAAGAGGAAUUGUCAGAAAGCUGAGGGAAGAAGCGCGCCGUUCAUUCUUUUAUUCCUUUAGUCAGCUCCUGUCCGCGCACAUGUGAACACACAUUGUAAGCAUAUUGUAAGCAUAUGUCUGCACGAUAUACAUCUACACACAGUUCUGCAUAAUAUCUAUCCUGCAGGACCCAUUUGGGAUAAGGAAACUGAGGCUCCGAAAUGCUAUCUCCACCCUCCAUGCAAUUUUAGGCACACGCGGGAGACACAGGACGGUGAAGUUUAGUUACUGUUUCUUUUCAGCCAAUCACGGAAGUUCAGAAAAUGACAAGGCUUUGGUGUUUGGGCAGGAAGGGGAAGUGCAGGGAGGCUCAGGGGCCCAGCCCUGAGGCUCUGGUCUUCCUUUCUCACAGUUUAGCCUAGCCGUUGUUUCCAAAGACGCCGGCAGGGGGCAGUGCAUCUCUCUUUUUCAAACCUGGGGGCGCUAUGGGCCAUGAUCCAAGAAAGAAAAUCAGGGGACACCGCCCCCGGUUUCCAGAAACACGCACACUGGUUUAGCGAGGGAGGUAGUAGGUGCUCAGCGCGCUCCUAGAAGCCGCUGGAUCAAUUUAAAUUUAGUAGUAAACGGUAAGGGACGAGGGGCGUUCCGACUCCGGCCAGCGCCUUGUGUCCCAGAGGCCUUCCCACUGAGCGCAGGCUUAGCACCUACUGUGUGCCAGGAGCAGCGGCAGAGAUCGCAUAGCCCUGUCCCCGGCUCCUAGCAGUUUUUCCUCUGGGGAGCGGCCCCUCACCUGCCGCAGGGAGGGGUGGGCGCUUCAUCUCACCACAAGUCCGUUAGGGCGAGGGGGCGCGGAGCUGGGAAAGGAGAGGGUACCCCAUAAACACAGUGGAAGUCCGGCGAAAGCCUGCUGUAGCGACUGAGCGAGCUUGCUCCCGUCCUCGGGGGUCACUGAGGUCUCCUGGGACUCAGCCUCCGAGAUGCCGGGGCCAGCCCAGCCCCCACUCACCCGCGCACUCCGGGGCGCGCACGUCCUCUCAUGGAGUGCCACCAGUUCCUACUGGCGGUAGGAGCUGGCUAGGACCCUUGUGCAAGAGGCUGGAGAAAUUCCAGGUCGGGGCACCCUUUCCCGAAAUCUCCGUGAGUCAAGGCGAUGACGCCUUACCUGUACCACGAGGGGGGCACCGGUCAACUCAAUGCCCAUCUCGAGUUCAGCCGCGCUGCCUCCCGCAAGGUCACGCUCAAACACUCACACGUAGAAAAGAUAAAAAAAAAAAAAAACAACCAAACAAGCAAAUAAAAAACUCCAAGGGCUCAAAGUUGCUUGCGCAACGGUCCGAUUCGGAGCUAACAGUACUCCAACCGAGUCGCCUUGCCCGGUGUCAACGGUUUCCCACCCCGGUGCACUCAUCAAAGGGGCGGAGGACUGUGCCCUGCGCACGUCACAUUACAGAGACACGGACAAGUUGCUAACUUUUGUCACAUUGUUUCUUGGCAGCUGAGGCGCCUAACAGGGUUGGGGCAGACUCCCAAGUUUCGAGUUGCCACCGCCUGCUCCCUUUGCCCACGCUAAUCCACCGGCUUUCCAACACACCUCAUGCAGCUGUCCUGUCCUAAGAGCCAACUUGUCCCGGAGAUCCGGCGCAGCGCGGGAUUAGAGGUGUCCCGGGGGCCCACAGCCUCCUCCCGGGUCUGCGCCUGCUCACAGCGGAUUGGGAGACUCCAUCCCGGACACUGUCCCACUAUCUCUGGUCUAGAUAACCAACGGCCUCCAAGCGUCCCCACAGUGUCCCAGCCCAAGACCUCGGCUUCUCUAGAGAGUGUGGGCAAGCAGCCCCUGAUGGAGUCUGCUACCCGCGGCCCGGGCUAGGAGCUACUGCGGUGCUGGGUGCAAUGUCACCGCGGCCGCUCCGGGAAUAGCUGCCACCAUCACCGUAGGCUCCCCCACUGAGCUCCGGGAGGCUCCUCCGUUAAGCGCCAAAGAGCCUGGAUCCUCAGAGCUGGAGUCUCCUCCCUGACACUCUUCCUGAGACCACCGUGGUGGCCGUGGCUGAGACGGAGCUCUCUCCCUCUCGGCGCCUAGGGUCUUCGGCCCCACUUCCUCUGCCAACCAUACCUUCCUAAGUCCCUUCCCCACCCCUGCUGUGCCGGGGUCCGGGCGAUCACCUCUGCACUCAGAGAACACAUGCGGAAUUUCCCGAGCCCCAACUCACGAGGCGGCGCCGUCCCUGGGGCACCCGGACAGCGACCAGCUGGGUGCGCACUCGCCCAACGCCGGAGACACACCGGAGUUGCCCGGCUUGGGGUGCAGAGGAGGUUCGGAGGGGUAUCUAAGGAGAUGCGUCCGGGAUACUCACCCCGACCAGCUCACACCUCCGGGUCCUCCUCUACCUCCUCUUCUGCCUCCUCCUCUCGCCUCCCUCCGGUCUAGGGCUCUUUGUCUUUGCAAAGUGUCGAAAGUAUCUGGCAUAGUGGGCUCCGGCGGCAGAGGCUAGCGCCGGGAGAGCGGGAGGCGGGGUGAGGAUGGGAGCGGCCUCUGGAACACCUUCCCCCGGGUGUAACGGGAGUCGGAGGCGGGGCGUCCGGAGAGGGGCCGCCUUCGCCCGCCGGCUGGGACCAAGCGGCGACUUGGGCGCGCCCAGCCCCGCGGCCGCCUCCACAGCGCGCAGCCCUCCCCUUCCUCCGCCCAGCGCCCGCCCCUCGGAGCCCCGGCGCCCCGGCGCCCCUCCCGCCGGCCUCGGCUCGGCUUUCCCCUUGCUUGGGGCUUCCUGCGAGCCCAAUAUAGCUCUGCCGAGCCACGUGGACCGCAGCGGGCUGGGUGGAGGCCGGACCGGCCUAAGAGACGCCGGAGGAGGAGGCGCGGGGACCGGAUCGCCGCCCCGAGAGAGGGGCUCUGCGGGAACAGCGCGCGAGGCUAGGGAAGAACUCCCCGGAGGCCUCAAGCUCGCGGGGUCAACCCCCGGGACAAGGCGAUGGGCGUGCGCCGAGAGGACGUGGCUGGCGGUGCCGAGAAGAUCCCUAGUCGGGUGUGCGGUGGAGAGAGGUGGCGAUCCCCCCUGCAGAGCCACCUCUUCCUCUAAGGGCGUGGGACUGGAGGUUUGCUUGGUGCCUUGACGUCCUCACUUGAAAAUAGCCCUAAUCUAAUCACGGCGUCUGUUUGCUAGGGUUUGUUUUGCUGAGCAAGUGGAUACAGGCAUGCAGAGCUCCGGAAACUGUCGUUGGUGGCAUCUUCUGAGAGCUCAGCCCAAGCCCGCUGCAGAAGGAGGAAGGAGCGGGUUUCAACUGUGCUCCUGACCUGCCUAGAUAGAUAGGGUGGAAGCAUUGUGUAAGACCGGGGAAGCAGACUCAAUUAGAAGGGAGGAAGGGGAGGACAAAGAGAAAACAAACUACCAGAAAAGGAAAUAAAAGAAACCGAGACCCACAAGUUCCACUAGUCAGGGGGUGGGGGAGUAAUGCGCAAGAUGUCCUUCCUUCAGGUAAGUCUCCCCCUGGGGGAGGCCUUACCUGCCACUUGACUGUCCCCACCCGCUGGGAAUUUGAGGGAAGAGGUCUCCAAGGUGCUCUAUGACCCAUGCUGAAUCCUCUUCCCUGCUGUCCUUGGUUGAUUUGGGUUUCCAUGCUAUACAGGGGGUGAGGUCCUUGCCCCACGCGAAAGUGUCUCUGUAAGCUUUUUUUUUUUCUGAGACACUGGUCAGACUGCAGCACCUGGCGUUCUUUUGCGUGCUUGGGAGAGGAGGGCAGAGUUCCAAUCCUGUCAGCUACUGCCCCUCAUAGCACAGCAUCUUCCAACCAUAUCUAGUGUGGGCCACUUAGAUUCUUGGUAGCCAGUGGUACGGUUUGGAGCAGGAGCACACACCCGGGAGACCCUCAGAAGGCAAUUUAAAUGGUCACCUAGCUGGACCUUACUGCAGAGAACGGAGUCUGGUGGUUUGCAAGGCUGUGUCUACUGGCUGUGUGCCUCUUGAGUUGAUGAGGCUUUCUGUGGCUAAGGAACCCUGCUUCCUGCUGACUGCAGCCCUCUCUCUGUGUGGUUCACAAGGUAGUAAGGAAGUGUUGGGUGAAUUAGUCUUGCAAGGAACCAUGGGUGCAAAGGGAAUCACUUAGGCAAAUGGAACCACACUUGGUGAGUAGGAGACUGCUUUUGUAUUCUAAUGGAUUCCCUGGAGGGAGGGUUAGAUUAGGCAAAUUGACAGCCCCCCCGGGGCAUCCAGCUGUUGCACUUUGAGAGCCAGCUCUGUUUCUACCCCCAGAGUGGGUCUCCGGAUGACUUCAAAGGGGCCUCCGGUGAGUUCUGGUGAAUGUGCAUAAGCCACUGCCUUACCCAUGUAAAAUGCAUCUACUUCUAGUCAGGGAAUGCAGGCAGGACCUUUUUAAAUCCACCCACUGGCUGUCUUGUUACAACACAACUUCUUUCUAGGUAACAGGAUGGGCCUUCCAUAUUCCUUCCCUUCUUUUCUGUUCCUUCCUCUUCAAUUUUUUUUUUUUUUUGAGUCGUGAUAUUCUGUUCAGGCAGCACUUUAGACACCCUGGACCAUUUCCAGAAGCAAAGGAAACAGGCUGCAUGCCAAGGGUGGAUGGAUGCGUUUCUUCUUGUCACCCUGAUCCGUGUCUCCCAACAUGCCCUGCUGGGGAACCACUGGGAGUAGUCAUUACUGGGAGUGCCUGCACAGCAGGUCCCCUGGGGAGCCCCUGACAGGGAUUUAGUGCCCACCACCACCUCCCCAUGAGUUCAGAGCACAGCAAAGCUCUACUGACGGCUGAGGAAAUUGAUUUUCUCUUUCCCUUCCCCCUUUGUUGGCACACCAGAGUGGAAAAGUACUAAUGGGUUCCAAUCCCACUGGGAUUGUGCAGAAAAGAGCAGGUGAUGGGGCUUGCUGGAGGCUCUCAGAGGGGCUGGCACACGCUCUCUUGUGUUUUGGGUGGUGCUUUCUUGGGUCUCAGGGCUGUGAGGACUUCCUGAACUCUCCUUAAGUGCUUAAUAUGGAAAUGGCCAAAAUAAUGCAGCUUGGGGAGCUGGAAGGAAAGCGCUUUCUCUCUCUCUCUCUCUCUCUCUCUCUCUCUCUCUCUCUCUCUCUCUCGUGUGUGUGUGUGUGUGUGUGUGUGUGUGUGUGUGUGUGUGUGUGUGUGGUUUUCUUUCUCUUCUGGAAUAUCCCUUAAUACUUUGAGUGGGUUUGUUUGUUUCAUUUUGGUUUCUUCCCAAGCCUCUGAUACCACUGUAACAGUAGAGACAGUUAUUUUAGUUGCACACCCUGGCUGUUGAUCCCACCCAUAUUUGACUUUGUUCAGGAGAGAAAUCACAUUGACAAGCCCAUCCAGGAGUUAAUGGGGUCACCAACCCAACCUGCACAGGCAGCCAAGCAUCGUGUGUCCAUCACUGAGUUGACCAUGGGGAAGAAGAACCCUCUAGAUUUGACACUUGAGGGAAUGUAGUGAACGUGGCACAUUAACCCCUGCAGUCCCUGGAAUCCCAAAGGGUUCCUGAGCCAGCAGGUCCUCUGUGAUCAACCUCAUUCCCAAGCCCAGUUUCCCAUUGGUGUCAGAUUCCCAGACCCCCCCCCCAAGCAUGCAAUUGGUGUCAGUCAUUUGUGACUACCCAAUGAAGAAUUUCUGAAGCCUCCUCAGCAAAAGUGGUUCCUGUAGAAAUGUCCAAAACAGUGUGGCUUGGGAAGCUGGAAGGAGAGGCUGCUUUGUUCUGGCUCUUGUUGUGUGUGUGAUGAGUAUUACAGUGUUAAAGAUAAGCUUUAAAACUAGUGAGAGCCACCAGAAAAGGGAGAUAAAUGUGCUUGGCUUCUGGGCAGGAUAUUUGGCUCCAUAGCAGAGCAUCUGUCUAGCACGUGUGAGGUGUGGACUCAGUUUCCAGUACUGCAUAAGAAAACAAAAGGAAGGAAGGAAGGAAGACAGUCGUUGGAGUAGACCCAACGACUUUCCAAGUGGAAAUCUCUUGUCCACUUGCAUAAAAACAACAAAUUUACUUUAUUUAUUUAUCUGGGGGCACUCACGUAGAGGUCGGAGAACAACCUGCACAAGUUGGUUAAUUUUACCAUGUCAGUCCCUGGGAUCAAACAGGUCAGAAGACUUGGUGGCAAGUGCCUUUGCCAGCUGAGCCAUCUCACUAGCCCGAACAGGAAAAGUUUAAUUCAUGUUCUCUGUUAGGUAUCUUGUGCUCGUGAAAUAAGCCAAAUCGGAAGACCAGUGGUUGUCUUUGGGUGGUGUUCAUCACUUGAUUGUGCCCCCUAAGAUCCUAAGUUAAGGUUUGAUCACAGUAUGAAAACAGUGAGAUGUUCUCUGUACCUGUAAGGGGUAGUACCUUGUAGGAGGUCUUUAGGUCAUUGGAGAAUGCUCUUGAAGGGACUGUGGGAGUCUUCCUGUCCUCUCUGCUCUGUUUAGACCUAUGCCUGCUUAAUGAGGUUUACAAAGUGGAGUCAGAAAUAGAUUGACAACAGGUAGUUUAUUAAGGAAUAGUACUCUCACAAAGGAGCCACUGACCAGGUUUACCCCACAGCGGGAGGGACCUACAAGAUGCUUCCCAGUGAGCUUAGCCAGGCGAAGGGGACAGCAUGCCUGCCUCCCUCCUACUUAAACCCUUGUUAGGUCACUCUGACCACGCCAAAUGGGCGUGGUCAGCGGUACCUCUUAAUCAGGGUUUCUCCCUACACCUGCUCCUGAUAUGGGAUAUCCUUCGGUAUGCCGCAAAUAUGUGUUGCUUUUAUUGGUUGAUAAUGAGGCUGAUUUGGGCAAUGGCCAAAUAGAGUAUAGCUAGGCAGGCAAUCCAAACAGAGAUAGAAAAGGAAAGAAGGCGGAGACAGACGCCAUGGAAGCAAGAUGUGAGGUAAGAAGCUACGAGCAUUGUGGUAAAAUAUAAACCAAAUGGGUUAAUUUAAUUGUGAGCGCUGUCAGUAAUAUGCCUGGGCCAUUGGCCAAACAAUUAUAAUUAGUAUUAAGACUUAGAGUGGUUAUUUAGAAACUGAAGGGUGGGACCAGAACCCUCUAACUACAUGCUCCCACCUGGGAUUCAAAUACAAAGUAUUGCUGUCAGCUGUCCUCAUCAGAGAGCCCAACCAGUGGGGCCACCUGACCUUGGAACUAAAUAAAUCUACCUUUGCUUUUUAAGUCAAUGGCGUCAAGUGUGUCUGUGUAGGUGUGCUGCCUGUCCUCUGUAGACCAAGCUGAACUCAAACUCACAGAUCUACCUGCCUCUGCUUCCCAAACGCUGGGAUUAAAGAAACAGACAACAGCUUGUGACCCUGGGUCCUUUGGUUUGGGAUCAGGACAACCCAACAGGAUGUCUUGCCUGCCCACCAUGUCUGAAAGAACUGGAAUCUAAGAGACACUCAGGUAGCCAAGGAUCCUCCACUCAGCCUAGCCAUGGCCAUGGAUGACUCAAAGGUCGGCUCAUCAAGUGCCAUCCAGAUCCACUGUGUGCAGUAGCUUCCCCAAUACGGAUGGCCUCCCUGCAACAUGGAGCCUGGAUCCUAAGAAGCAGCAUCACACAGCCAGGAAGGAGUCAAAACAGGCAAGAGGAAACAACUGGAUUUGAAGUCUGCCCCAAACCAUAAGGUCAUCUGUGACUUCAUUCUCGAGGAAAGUGUGAGGCUCCUCAAGAUGGAGAAUGCUCUGUCAUGGUUCAGAUGACAAUUGCAGCCAGCACCUGAGCCUGGGGGAACUGAGCCUGAGACUCAAGAGGGGUGAGCCCAUCCCUGCUGUUAUCAGUAUCCGGUAGCCCGAAGGCAAUCACCUACACAGCGUCUUACAAUGUAGACUUCGCUUCCUUCCUCAAAACUGGCAUCUCAGCUGCUUGAAGGGGCCAGAUGUCCUAAGGAAUUAACUACCCCAGCACCAUGUACUCGGAGAGCCUCUGAUAAUUGAUGACCGUUAUUAAUCUAAUUAUCUUUCUGAUGUACAUUGUGCUUGUCAACAUAUCUGUGAACGUUUUGUAGAUGAAGAAUGGAGAAGUACAGUAUGUGAGUUGCCAGGACAUGCCAGGUCUCUGCCAGGAUAUAUAUGUAUGUAUGUAUGUAUGUAUGUAUGUAUGUAUGUAUAUGUAUAUAAAGACCCCCGAGAGGGAAGAUCCUCACUCAAGUCUCGGGAUGAUGAGACCCCCCCCCCCAAGAACUCAAGAGAGACCGUCCUUGCUGCAAUCACACAAGGUUUAUUGACAGGAACCAGUGCGCUGGGGCCGAGACUCAUAUCCCACGCAGGGGUAGAGGAGUUUUGACCCUGAAUGGCUGGGAAUAGGGUUUUUUUAAAGGAAGAAUCCACAACCCAAAAUACCAAGAAUACCAGUGAAAGGUCCGGAGGGAAAUCACAACGGGAAACUCCCUGUUCCUUAAGAUCGUUUGUAAGAUUCUAAUCUAACUUUUUAUGGCUAGCAUUUUCCUGAAACAGAGUUGCUGAACCAGCUAGCCACCCUAUAUCCUAGGCCUUAUUUUGUCUGCUGGGGGGGAG